rnacentral:tRNA from 1 species
GCCUGCUUAGCUCAGCUGGUUAGAGCAUUCGUCUCAUAAGCGAAGGGUCACUAGUUCGAAUCUAGUAGCAGGCA